CCCUUAGAUGUUCUGGGCCGCACGCGCGCUACACUGAUGCAUUCAACGAGCCUAUCCUUGACCGACAGGUCCGGGUAAUCUUUGAAUCUGCAUCGUGACGGGGAUAGAUUAUUGCAAUUAUUAAUCUUCAACGAGGAAUGCCUAGUAGGCGCAAGUCAUCAGCUUGCAUUGAUUACGUCCCUGCCCUUUGUACACACCGCCCGUCGCACCUACCGAUUGAACGGUCCGGUGAAAUCUUGGGAUUUGCUUUGCUUUCGUUUGUUCGAUGCUCGGCGAAGAACUUGAGUAAACCUUACCGUUUAGAGGAAGGUGAAGUCGUAACA
rnacentral:rRNA from 1 species